rnacentral:rRNA from 1 species
UGAUAGCUCAACGUAUUAGGCUUCGGGGGAUACUGCCAGACUUGGAACCGGGAGAGGUAAGAGGUACUACAGGGGUAGGAGUGAAAUCUUGUAAUCCCUGUGGGACCACCUGUGGCGAAGGCGUCCUACCAGAACGGGUUCGACGGUGAGGGACGAAAGCUGGGGGCACGAACCGGAUUAGAUACCCGGGUAGUCCCCAGCCGUAAACGAUGCUCGCUAGGUGUCAGGCAUGGCGCGACCGUGUCUGGUGCCGCAGGGAAGCCGUGAAGCGAGCCACCUGGGAAGUACGGCCGCAAGGCUGAAACUUAAAGGAAUUGGCGGGGGAGCACAACAACGGGUGGAGCCCUGCGGUUUAAUUGGACUCAACGCCGGACAACUCACCGGGGGCGACAGCAAUAUGUAGGCCAAGCUGAAGACUUUGCCUGAAUCGCUGAGAAGUGGUGCAUGG